AUAAGUAUGUAUUUUUCGAAGAUAUUUCUGGGACAUGGAAUACAUGGAGCUUUUUUUCUGGUCAUUCAUAAGUUUCCCUUAAUAGGACACAUUUCAGUUGGAAUACUACUAUUACUACUUUAUUCCUAUAUCUUUCUCUUGACUUACUCCUAAUCACGGGAGACUAAGGACAGGGAUAGUGUUUGCUUGGGAUCACCAUUGGAUCCCUAGAAAUUUGUGAAGUUAAGUAGACCAGAUGUGAAUAUAUGACUCCAAAGCAGACAACCUGUGGGCUCAAGGGCAGGAUCUGGGCAAGGGGCUGGGUUGAAGAUAACAAAAUAAAGUCUUCAGGCUUGAGUACCAAUUAGUUCCUCUACUGAAAAAAAAAUCAAAUGAAGCAAGUGGCCACUGAGUUUAAGAUAAAAACCUCAUCAUACAUAUAUGCAUGUCUAUAUGUGUGUACAUAUACAUAUAUGCAAACCAAAUGCAUACAUGCAUGGGCAUAUAAGCACAUAAUAUGUAUGUGUGUGUGUAUAUAUAUAUAUGUAUCUGGUUUGCAUAUAUGUGUAUGUACAUAUAUGACCAUACAUAUAUGUAUUUGGUUUGCUAAAUGGUGUUUUUCCCAAUGUACCUUUAUCUUUGUAGUAGGCAUAUGGAAUAAACUAUUAUUUAUGAAGUUCCUCUUUAAAAGUCCCCACAGAUGAAAGGUUUAUUUUAGAGGUACAGGAUAUGUGCACUGUUGCACUUUCUCACAUGGUGUGAGGGAAGGCUCUAGUGUCUGUGAUGGGAAUUGGAGCUGUGAAGCCCAGGGAAGACAAGCAACUGACGGCUGAGGUGGAAUUUCAGGAGCUCUAGUCAAAGUGUCCAGAGUCAAAAAGUUCAGAGAGGAAACCUACCUGUCGAUUUCUUUUCUGAUACGCAAGUAUAAUUUGUCUCCUCUACUUCAAGUAAAACAGGGUCACCAAAAUCCCACCGAGGCAAAAGUCAGCGAUCUGAGGAUCUGGGAGGGAGGAUCACAAAAUAAAGACUUCGGGCUUGCACAUCAACUCAUUCUUCUACCGG
rnacentral:lncRNA from 1 species